rnacentral:lncRNA from 1 species
AGGGCUCGCUCAAGGGGGAGAGAGGGAGAUGAAGGCAGUCCUGCCAGCUGGAAAAGRGGAGGAAAGCUAUGCGCGAUCUAAGGGGUGCCCAUUGUUACUGUAAAAGCUUUUUUUUUAAAAAAAAAAAAUUUUUUUUUGAAAUUUUUCCUUUUCCUGCUACUACUCUUCAAUGUGUGUUACUCCAGGGAAGAAAUCAGAUAGUAUAGCCUCCGUCCCUACUCCAGACGGUAACUGGUCACUUGCACUGCAGAGUGAAUAUGUGGGAUACAGGACUCUACUCAGCCAACCCUUGGAAUUGCAGCCCACCAGAAAACUCCAUCUCAGGUUUGGCUGGGAUGACUUCAAGCACUUGAAAGCAGGUGCAGGGAAUGCUUUCCAGCAGCCCUACUCAUUCCUCCUCAGGAGGGAUAUGCUCGGUGCACCCAUCACGGCCCCYGGAUCCUCAGUGGACGUUACCAGGCCUUCAGUACGUGUUCAGAGGAUAAAGUAAACCUUUGUCAAUAUAUAAGAAGCCCAAGCAAACUGGAAAAGUGGAUGAUACUACUGAUAAGAGAAGCAUCAUGUUAUAUAAACGCCCAUCCCAUGGGAGGAGCAGGCAGUACG